GAUUCAGCGGCGGACGGGUGAGUAAUGCCUAGGAAUCUGCCUAGUAGUGGGGGACAACGUUUCGAAAGGAACGCUAAUACCGCAUACGUCCUACGGGAGAAAGUGGGGGAUCUUCGGACCUCACGCUAUUAGAUGAGCCUAGGUCGGAUUAGCUAGUUGGUAGGGUAAAGGCCUACCAAGGCGACGAUCCGUAACUGGUCUGAGAGGAUGAUCAGUCACACUGGAACUGAGACACGGUCCAGACUCCUACGGGAGGCAGCAGUGGGGAAUAUUGGACAAUGGGCGAAAGCCUGAUCCAGCCAUGCCGCGUGUGUGAAGAAGGCCUUCGGGUCGUAAAGCACUUUAAGUUGGGAGGAAGGGCUCAUAGCGAAUACCUGUGAGUUUUGACGUUACCAACAGAAUAAGCACCGGCUAACUUCGUGCCAGCAGCCGCGGUAAUAC
rnacentral:rRNA from 1 species